rnacentral:rRNA from 1 species
CCAAAAAUCCGUUUAGACAAUGCUAGGAUGUGAUGGGGAAGCCCUUCGGGGCGAAGUAGCUGAUUUCACACUGUCAAGAAAAGCUUCUAUCGAGUUUAAAGGCGCCCGUACCGUAAACCGACACAGGUGGGUGAGGAGAGUAUCCUAAGGCCAGCGAGAGAACUAUUGUUAAGGAACUCGGCAAAAUGACCCCGUAACUUAGGGAGAAGGGGUGCCUGUCUAUGACAGGCCGCAGAGAAUAGGCCCAAGCGACUGUUUACCAAAAACACAGGUUUCUGCUAAGUCGCAAGACGAUGUAUAGGAGCUGACGCCUGCCCGGUGCUGGAAGGUUAAGGGGAUCUGUUAGAGCAGUCGAAGCAGUGAACUUAAGCCCCAGUAAACGGCGGCCGUAACAAUAACGGUCCUAAGGUAGCGAAAUUCCUUGUCGGGUAAGUUCCGACCCGCACGAAAGGCGUAACGAUUUGGGCACUGUCUCAACAAUAGACUCGGUGAAAUUGUAAUCCCGGUGAAGAUGCCGGGUACCUGCGACAGGACGGAAAGACCCCAUGGAGCUUUACUGUAGCUUGACGUUGGGUCUUGGUACUACAUGUACAAGAUAGGUGGGAGACUAUGAAGCAUGGACGCCAGUCUGUGUGGAGUCAUCCUUGGGAUACCACCCUUGUAGUACUGGGAUCCUAACCAUAGGCCUUGAAUCAGGUCUUGGAACACCGUCGGGUGGGCAGUUUGACUGGGGCGGUCGCCUCCUAAAAAGUAACGGAGGCGCUCAAAGGUUUCCUCAGCACGGUCGGAAAUCGUGCGAAGAGUGUAAAGGCAAAAGGAAGCUUGAUUGCAAGACAUACAGGUCGAGCAAGGACGAAAGUCGGACUUAGUGAUCCGGUGGUACCGCAUGGAAGGGCCAUCGCUCAACGGAUAAAAGCUACCCUGGGGAUAACAGGCUUAUCUCCCCCAAGAGUCCACAUCGACGGGGAGGUUUGGCACCUCGAUGUCGGCUCAUCACAUCCUGGGGCUGUAGUAGGUCCCAAGGGUUGGGCUGUUCGCCCAUUAAAGUGGUACGCGAGCUGGGUUCAGAACGUCGUGAGACAGUUCGGUCCCUAUCCGUCGCAGGCGUAGGAAAUUUGAGAAGACCUGUCCUUAGUACGAGAGGACCGGGAUGGACGUACCUCUGGUGUACCAGUUGUUCUGCCAAGGGCAUGGCUGGGUAGCUAUGUACGGAAUGGAUAAGCGCUGAAAGCAUCUAAGCGCGAAGCCAACUUCAAGAUAAGAUUUCCCACCGUAAGGGUAAGACCCCAGGAAGACUACCUGGUUGAUAGGUCGAAGGUGUAAGUGCAGUAAUGUAUUUAGCUUAUCGAUACUAAUAGGUCGAGGACUUGACC